CAGCAGCCGCGGGAAUACGUAGGGUGCGAGCGUUAAUCGGAAUUACUGGGCGUAAAGCGGGCGCAGACGGUUACUUAAGCAGGAUGUGAAAUCCCCGGGCUCAACCUGGGAACUGCGUUCUGAACUGGGUAACUAGAGUGUGUCAGAGGGAGGUAGAAUUCCACGUGUAGCAGUGAAAUGCGUAGAGAUGUGGAGGAAUACCGAUGGCGAAGGCAGCCUCCUGGGAUAACACUGACGUUCAUGCCCGAAAGCGUGGGUAGCAAACAGGAUUAGAUACCCCCGUAGUCCCUGUCUCUUAUAC
rnacentral:rRNA from 1 species